AGCAGCCGCGGUAAUUCCAGCUCCAAUAGCGUAUAUUAAAGUUGUUGCAGUUAAAAAGCUCGUAGUUGAAUUUCGGGAUCAAUAUAUCGGUCGUGCCUUGGUACGUACUGGUAUCAUUGGUUUCUCCUUUCUGACGAACCAUGAUGUCAUUAAUUUGGUGUUAUGGGAAGUUAGGACUGUUACUUUGAGAAAAUUAGAGUGUUUAAAGCAGGCUUUAGCUUGAAUACAUUAGCAUGGAAUAAUGAAAUAGGACGUUCGAACCUAUUUUGUUGGUUUCUAGGAUCAACGUAAUGAUUAAUAGGGAUAGUUGGGGGCAUUAGUAUUCAAUUGUCAGAGGUGAAAUUCUUGGAUUUAUUGAAGACUAACUACUGCGAAAGCAUUUGCCAAGGAUGUUUUCAUUAAUCUAAG
rnacentral:rRNA from 1 species